rnacentral:rRNA from 1 species
AUUGAACGCUGGCGGCAUGCCUUACACAUGCAAGUCGAACGGUAACAGGUCUUCGGAUGCCGACGAGUGGCGAACGGGUGAGUAAUACAUCGGAACGUGCCCAGACGUGGGGGAUAACGAGGCGAAAGCUUUGCUAAUACCGCAUACGAUCUAAGGAUGAAAGCAGGGGACCGCAAGGCCUUGCGCGUUUGGAGCGGCCGAUGGCAGAUUAGGUAGUUGGUGGGAUAAAAGCUUACCAAGCCGACGAUCUGUAGCUGGUCUGAGAGGACGACCAGCCACACUGGGACUGAGACACGGCCCAGACUCCUACGGGAGGCAGCAGUGGGGAAUUUUGGACAAUGGGCGAAAGCCUGAUCCAGCAAUGCCGCGUGCAGGAUGAAGGCCUUCGGGUUGUAAACUGCUUUUGUACGGAACGAAAAGGCUCUGGCUAAUACCUGGGGCACAUGACGGUACCGUAAGAAUAAGCACCGGCUAACUACGUG